rnacentral:lncRNA from 1 species
UACGUUUUUAUUGCUUUUAUCUGCAAAGGGGGUGUGGAGAGAGAGAGAGAGGCAAGUUGGAGGAGGAGCUCAUUGAUGGGUGACAGAAGGGCCGUUCGGAGUGAUUUCAACGGAGCCUUUGGUGUUUUCUGGCCAGUUUUUGUGACGCAUGUGAUGGAGCCAUGGCGAUUUUCGCCUUUGUGGGGCUGCAUGGCUGCAUUACAACAAUGGUGGGCUUGACAGCGGGGAAAUGUGUCACCACACAGUUCAUUAGUCAGGGGGUGUGGGAGUCAUUAGUAAGCACCUAGAACAUUCAAAACACCAAGGAAGAAGUAGAGAGGGAAAUUUCAGUUGAAAUAACAACAGUGUGUACAGUGUCAUUCAAUGCUGUAGAUUAUGCUCUAUUGCAGGACAAUCGAUUUACAGACGUUCUUUUUGGAGGAUUUUGAUUCCGUCUUGCAAGUUCUACUUGUACUGAAUGGAAAGAAAGAAAGAAAAAACAAACACAGAAUUGUUAACCUGCAGUUUAUCGUUGUGUUAAUUCUGUGGGUGAGCUUGAGAUGUGUUGCUGUGUGGGAACUUGAGUGAAACUUCUUCUGAGUUGUGAGAUGAGGCUUUUGCCUUUGGAAGCGGGCCGUGUUUCUGGUGGGUCUAAUUUCUGUUAUGUAGAUUCUUUGAUUCUGUGGAGGUUCAAACGUGUGUGAAAGCAACAUUUUAACUAUCCCAAAUGAGAUGUACUUAUCAACACCUUUAAACUAUUUAUUCAUCACCUCCUUGUAAAUUCUGUCUCAAUGAAUAAUGGAGAAGAAAUAAAAAUGAAUAAGAAUAAAAACAAUCAAAUUUCAAUUGCAAAGUAACAGCUGUAACA